AGGUGUGAACAGUUUCUGUGAAGAGUAUAAGUAACAGAUGAAGAUCCACUUCACAUGAACUGCACUACGCUGCUCUGAACCUUGAACAAAUCAUCAGCAUGAUCUUAUCCGAGGGGAGUGAUGAAGGGGGUGACAACGACGAUGAUGAAGAAGAUGAUGGAGGUGCUGGAGUAAGUGUCUGCUGCCAAGGGUAGACAACUGCUACAGACCUUGAUGCAGCCAGUGUUGAGAAAGACCCAAUAGCACGCUGGAUCAAACAAACUGUGUGCAAUUGCUGAUACAAGCCAGCAGCAGCCAAAGCAAUCACACAGCUUCAGUUGUGACAAAUGUCGCAACCCAAGUACCUCCCACGCCAUGUGUGUCCAUGGCAAACUUGACACGUAGACCAUGAUUCCUCCAUG